AGACUGCAUAUCUUCUCAUGUACAGAGGUUCAAAACCCACCAAAUACAAACUGCUCCCAGGCAGCAUAUCUUCUCAUGUACAGAGAUGAGAAUUCUUCGAGGGGCUCACAGAGUGCACUCUGGAACAAACACACAAUGGUUGUUUUUGUUAAAAUUAAUGGAUCUAAGAAACAAAAUGAUCUGUGGUUUGUAAAUAAAUUUCAAAGUUGAGAGGAUUGAGGGAUUAUUUUUGUGUGAGGCCCUGUUUUUAUGAAAAUCCUGCUUGUUCUGCCUUUAAAGAGGAGGAGAGGUUUCUGUUAUUGUAUUAUAUGAGUUCAGAAAUACAAACAACUAAUCUAAUCAACAACCUGAAAUCAUAGUAAUCAGGAGUAAAAUGAUUUUAAUUAUGAAUCGACUUUGCUUUAUAAUUAUUGUGGCCCAUUUCAAUGUGUUUGACAAUAGACUGCCUUUAUAGUUGUAUGAUUUUCAUAGUAUUACAUUUAAAACAAAUGAAACACUUUAACUCAGAAAUACUCACAGAAUCAAUCUCAUAUAGCUAUAUUUAAUGCAUGCUAAUAUUAAUCACAGAUUACUUUUUACUAUUUACUAUUUUACUCAUUUUGUUUGACUGACUCAUUUUAAAUACAUGAAUACACAUGACAUCAUUGUUUUUAUUUUGAUAAUAGAAACCUGUAUGUUCCAUCAUUCUGUCAUUUAACCAGCUAAAUGUUGCUGCAAACUGAAAUUUCUAGCUUGUUUGGGUGUAAUAAUCAGACUGUGUAAAUAUAAAUGAAGAAAAUA